CGCCACUCUAUCUUGAUUCCGGUCGUAGCCGCCAUGAAUCGCCGCCUCCCUCUGGCGCGACGAGGUCGGCGCCUGUUAUUCUUCCUCCUCCUCUCCUUCCCUUUUGUGCCCUAUUUCUUCCCCAAGAACAAAAUCCCCAAUUUCUAGGGUUUUCAGCCUCCCUUUCAUCUCUGAAUUUCGCCCCUCCGGUGAGUCCCGCCACUGUCACCGCCUCGCACAGUUGCUCCCUGCCUCAGUUGUAGAAUCAGAUUGGCGGUGGAAAGCCCAAAAUGAGAUGGUUAGGAACUCAAUUUUGUUGCUCUCUCAAUUCUUCCGAUUCCCAGCCCUAAUUUUAUGAACUAUUGAAGUGAAGCACCUGCUGACAUUAAUAAACAUGCAUCUGCACCUGCUGGAAUCAUUGAUUCUUUGGGAGUUUUGAUAGAGAAUUUUGGAACAAGAGCUUGAAAUAUGAAGACAGCAUAUUGACUCUAUGGAGUUGCCUGCGGGAUUGUGAUCUUGGGUUUGGCUCUUUUAAGCAUACUGGAGAAGAUAAAAUAUGUUUGCCAUUAUGAGAAUUGUGGGAAGGUAAUAUGCUCUAUUGAAUUAUAGCAUGGCUAUGUUUUACCAUAAUAUGAUAGUAUCUUUAUUCGAUCAUGAAAUCACCUGAAAUUCAUAUUAUUUGUUUCAAGAUAAGCGGAACAUAAUCCAGUUGUAUAUCUUUUCCAGGUGAUUGUAGAUAUACAACAAGUCCAACAGAUUUGCUGAAGCUGAGAAUAUAUUGAGAAAGAUUAUGAAAGGGUUGGAAAUCUUUGGAUAUCAUUGUUGUAGCUGAACGGCUUGCAUUAACUCUUGAAGCAACAAGGAGAUUAAAGGAGGUAGAACAAUUGUUAGAGAGGUACAUUAAUAUUAAGCACUCAAUGAGGAGCAAAUCCAAAUAGUAUCUACUGGAGAAUAACAAUUUCUCUGUAGCAGAUGUCUUGAUGCCAAGAAAAACUUGCUUCCUCAUGAAAACUUUGCUUCUACAUGUGCAUUGACAUUUUCCUUAUUCUGCUGGUUCAAAACUCAUGGUGGUAAAGGUUAGAAAAUGGCAGCUUUUAGGAUUUGCUUUUUAUGAUUUGAUAAAAGCAAUCUGUAGAGGGUUUUUUGGUGAGCUUAUAAGUUAUAAGUUCUAUUUUAUGAGUCA